rnacentral:tRNA from 1 species
GAGGGUACAGCUCAAGUGCCAGAGCACUUGUCUGGCACGCGUGAGGUCCUGGGUUCAAUUCCCAGUACCUCCU